rnacentral:sRNA from 1 species
UUAUUGAUUAUAUUCACCGUCUCUCAGUCCUAUUUUGCUAUCUAUUGGAACUUAUC